GUAGGAACAAGCUUGUGUGGUUCAAAGAGCAGGAAGAGUGUGAAUGUGGCUGGAGCUCACAGCGAAGAGCGAGAUGAGGCCAGAGAAGAAGAUGAACUCUUCCCUGCUCUUUCUGUUUCCUGGCUUCCUCUCUGGUAACAGCAUGUCCUGGGAAGACCUCGUGUCACAGUCCCAGGGAAUCAUGAAUUCCACCGCAGUGGAGAUGAACAAGGACACCUGGCUUCCAGGAGCAGGAAAACCAACCUCCAUAGUGAGGAUAUUUGCAGUUAUUUUUUAAAAUUUGAAGUUCUUUGUUUUUUAAAAAAUCAUCUCAUUGUCUCGUAUUACAGAAUAUUGUAAAAGAAAAACUAUUAAUUAUCUCAAA